CCUACGGGAGGCAGCAGUGGGGAAUAUUGCACAAUGGGCGAAAGCCUGAUGCAGCGACGCCGCGUGAGGGAUGACGGCCUUCGGGUUGUAAACCUCUUUCAGCAGGGAAGAAGCGAAAGUGACGGUACCUGCAGAAGAAGCACCGGCUAACUACGUGCCAGCAGCCGCGGUAAUACGUAGGGUGCGAGCGUUGUCCGGAAUUAUUGGGCGUAAAGAGCUUGUAGGCGGUUUGUCGCGUCUGCUGUGAAAAUCCGGGACUCAAUUCCGGACUUGCAGUGGGUACGGGCAGACUAGAGUACGGUAGGGGAGACUGGAAUUCCUGGUGUAGCGGUGAAAUGCGCAGAUAUCAGGAGGAACACCGAUGGCGAAGGCAGGUCUCUGGGCCGUAACUGACGCUGAGAAGCGAAAGCAUGGGGAGCGAACAGGAUUAGAUACCCUGGUAGUCCAUGCCGUAAACGUUGGGCGCUAGGUGUGGGGCUCAUUCCACGAGCUCUGUGCCGCAGCUAACGCAUUAAGCGCCCCGCCUGGGGAGUACGGCCGCAAGGCUAAAACUCAAUGAAUUGACGG
rnacentral:rRNA from 1 species